GGAUUGUAGCUCAGUGGUAGAGUGCUUGCCUAGCAUGUGUGAGGUACUGGGUUCAAUCCUUAGCACCA
rnacentral:tRNA from 1 species